GCGGGGUAGAGAAGCGGCUAUCUCGUCAGCCCCAUGAGCUGAAAAUCGCAGGUUCGAGUCCUGCCCCCGCUACCA
rnacentral:tRNA from 1 species